rnacentral:rRNA from 1 species
UACGGAGGGGGCUAGCGUUGUUCGGAAUUACUGGGCGUAAAGCGUACGUAGGCGGAUCUGCAAGUUGGGGGUGAAAUCCCGGGGCUUAACCCCGGAAUUGCCCUCAAAACUGUGGAUCUUGAGACCGAGAGAGGUAAGGGGAAUUCCGAGUGUAGAGGUGAAAUUCGUAGAUAUUCGGAAGAACACCAGUGGCGAAGGCGCCUUACUGGCUCGGACCUGACGCUGAGGUACGAAAGCGUGGGGAGCAAACAGG